rnacentral:rRNA from 1 species
AUUGAACGCUGGCGGCAGGCCUAACACAUGCAAGUCGAGCGGAUGAAGCGAGCUUGCUCCUGGAUUCAGCGGCGGACGGGUGAGUACUGCCUAGGAAUCUGCAUGGUAGCGGGGGAUAACGUCCGGAUACGGGCGCUAAUACCGCAUACGUCCUGAUGGCGCCAGUGGGGGAUCUUCGGACCUCACGCUAUCAGAUUAGCCUAGGUCGGAUGAGCUAGUUGGGGGGGUAAAUGCCUACCAAGGCGACGAUCCGUAACUGGUCUGAGAGGAUGAUCAGUCAGACGGGAACUGAGAAAGGUCCCAGACACCGACAGGGAGCAGCAGCGGGGAAUAUUGGACAAGGGGCGAGAGCCUGAUCCAGGCAUGCCGCGUGAAUGAAGAACGUCUUCGGAUUGGAAAGCACUGUAAGUUGGGAGGAAGGACAGUAAGUUAAUACCGUGCGGUUAUGACGUUACCGGCAGAAUAAGCACCGGCUAACUUCGUG